UACGGAGGGGGCUAGCGUUGUUCGGAAUCACUGGGCGUAAAGGGCGCGUAGGCGGCUAUUCAAGUCGGGGGUGAAAGCCUGUGGCUCAACCACAGAAUUGCCUUCGAUACUGUUCGGCUUGAGACCGGAAGAGGUAAGUGGAACUGCGAGUGUAGAGGUGAAAUUCGUAGAUAUUCGCAAGAACACCAGUGGCGAAGGCGGCUUACUGGUCCGGUUCUGACGCUGAGGCGCGAAAGCGUGGGGAGCAAACAGG
rnacentral:rRNA from 1 species